CGUUAUUAGGUGUGUGAAUCAGUGGAUCUGGGGCAGGAAUAAUAACUUCCUCUACAACAUGAAAGGUGAGAACAGACCCGUUUGUUAACUGGUAAUUCAACAUGAAUAACAAAUGGGCUAAUUUCACACUGUGAUCUCUCACUCCAAUACUGUCAGAUAAAGCAGUGCCCGACGCUCUUCUGAAAAGUGAGACGAGAGACUAUAUAGACGCUGGACUGUUGCUGAACUCACCCUACUUCUCAGUGCUGAGAGAAGAGAGGGACAUCGACCUCAUAAUUUCACUGGAUUUCAGUGACGGUGAUCCUUUCAUGACAGUGACAGAAGCUGCUGAGAUGUGCAUGAAACUAAAGAUCCCUUUCCCUGAGGUCAACAUUCCUGAUGGGCACUCAGAGAACCCGAAGGACUUCUACGUGUUCAAAGGCCAAAACACUCCCACCGUGAUACACAUCCCUCUCUUUAAUGUGGUCAACUGUGGAG